rnacentral:rRNA from 1 species
AACUUUCAACAAAGGAUCUCUUGGCUCUCGCAUCGAUGAAGAACGCAGCAAAGCGCGAAAUGUAGUGUGAAUUGCAGAACAUUGUGAAUCAUCGAAUCUUUGAACGCACAUUGCACCUCUCGCAGGGGAGGUAUGCCUGUCUGAGCGUCAUUG